rnacentral:misc_RNA from 1 species
CAAACCUAGAGAAAUACCCAACGCCGAAAACAAAGUUUCUCCACGGAAGUUGGUCACCACAUGUUGACGAUUAGUUCAACACAAGCAAACCAAAGGAAGAGAAAUAUACAAAUUUUCAAAAGAUCACCUCACAAGGACCUCCAAACUUGCAAGACAAGCACAAACAAAACCAUAUAUACAUACCCAAACAUAGAUGGAGGAGGGCUAUAUCGUAACUUGAGCCGGACAAAGCCACAUCCUCCCCUGCCCAAAGGCAGGGGAAGCCACAUGGAGUAAGGAGGACGCUUAGUAAAUCUGAGAGAGUGCAGAAAUAGAAGGAACCAAAAAAAAAGAGUUUUUCUCUCUAAAACUUAAGAGAGAAUUAAUUCGGUAAAGAUAAUUAAUGACAAUAUUUCCCUAAUUG